GGCAGAGGGGGAGAUUUGGGGUCAGGGGUGGGGAUGGAGGGAUAAUAUGGGGGCAGAGGGGGAGAUUUGCGGUCAAAGGGACAAAUUUGGGGUCAGGGAUGGGGAUGGAGGGAUAAUAUGGGGGCAGAGGGGGAGAUUUGGGGUCAGGGGGACAAAUUUGGGGUCAGGGAUAGAGACUGAGGGACAAUAUGGGGUCAGGGAUGGGGAUGGAGGGACAAUAUGGGGUCAGAGGGGGAAAUAUGGGGUCAAAGGGACAAAUUUGGAGUCAGGG
rnacentral:lncRNA from 1 species